rnacentral:rRNA from 1 species
CCUACGGGUGGCAGCAGUGAGGAAUAUUGGUCAAUGGCCGCAAUGCUGAACCAGCCAAGUCGCGUGCAGGAUGACGGCCCUACGGAUUGUAAACCGCUUUUGUCCGGGAGCAAAGUGCUCCACGUGUGGCGUUUUGCGAGUACGUGACGAAUAAGGAUCGGCUAACUCCGUGCCAGCAGCCGCGGUAAUACGGAGGAUCCGAGCGUUAUCCGGAUUUAUUGGGUUUAAAGGGUGCGCAGGUGGUUUUAUAAGUUAGCGGUGAAAUACCGAUGCUCAACCUCGGUGGUGCCGUUGAUACUGUAGUACUAGAGUUCGCAUGAAGCAGGCGGAAUGUGUGGUGUAGCGGUGAAAUGCAUAGAUAUUACGCAGAACACCGAUUGCGAAGGCAGCUUGCUGGGGCUCAACUGACGCUGAUGCACGAAAGCGUGGGUAUCGAACAGGAUUAGAUAACCUUGUAGUC